CCACGUAGUCUUCCCCUUUUUUUAUUCCAGUCAAUCCCUUUCUUCCUAAUCCAAUUUCACCCGAACAGCCGGCCCCCAUCUCUUCUUCCUCUAAGCAGGAGCGGCGAGCAAGCGGAGGGCGGAGCUAGAGCAAGGUGAGGCAGCCUGCGGCGUGCCAGGCGGGUCUGGAGGUGAAGCACCGGAGCAAGGCUCGGCCUGCGACGGCGGCGGCGACUCACGGUAGAGGCAAGGGCGAGGCCGAAGUGGUGAGGCGGGUCGAGGCCGCGGCGGAAGCAAGCCCGGGAAUUGAAUCUGCGGCAGAGGCAAGCCACCUGCGCGACUCAGCGGCGAGGUGGAGGGUAGCAAGGCGGCCUAUGGCUCUCCCCCGCUGUAGUUUGCGUUGGGCGACUCGAAGGCGGCUCUGUGGCAGAGGCGCUCUGCGGCGACUCACGGCGGAGCGAGGCAACAAAGUCCGACUUGUAGCCGCAUACUUGCAGGCGCUGACUUGGGUCGCAGGUGAGCCGGCAUCGGCGGUUCAGAGGCGGGCGAGUCCGAGGUAGAGCCGGCUCAUGGAGGAGCGGCGGGUUGAAGCACGGACACAACGACUGAAAGGCUAGGUGGCUCGAGGAUGUCCCCAGCGAGGCGGAGCUUUGGUGGCGGGCUGGCUUGGCAGCUCACGAUGUAGGUGAGGCGGUUUAAUGGAAACAGAAGGUGACCCGGCGGCACGGCAGUUCAAAAAUGUAGCAGUGGCAGGCCCAGGCCGACGAAUCAAAAGCACGACGGCUCAGCGGCAAUGGGGCGGACCCACUCGGAGACAAGGAGAGGCCACGGCGGCUCUGGAUGUAGGUGGUUUGGCAGCGACCGGCUGUUGAGGCGGCCAGAGACCCAAGGCCGCGGAGGCGACUCGGCGAUUUGACACAGCAAGCCGGCUCGCAAGUGGAGGCGGCUUCAGAAUGGGCGCUGGAGGAAGAGGCAAGGGUUGGACAAGCGCUGGACCACAGACGGCAGUUGCCGCUAGCGGCGGCUCAACACAAGGUCCACGCGGGGUGGCUCUCCGGCGGCGGCACGGUAGACAGCGCGGGGUGGCUCUCCGGAAGCGAGGCGGCUCACGUAAGGCGGCGCAUCGAGCCGAUAGGGCAGCCAAAACGGGGCACCGGAGCGGAGCACGAAGAGCCAGCAGGGGCUCGGAGCCGGCGUAGAUCGCUGCGAUUUGAACAGCGGGGCGCCUUGUAGGCGUGGGAGGAUUCAGCCGCAGGAGCUCGUAGUAGCGAUUUAAGCAGACAACUGCUCGUGGGCGGCGACUGCUCGCCGACCGGGUCGAAGGAGAGUCACAUCAGCGGAGCGGAGCAAAGCGGCGGCUCAAUCUGCCAUGGUGGGCCAUCACAGAGGCGACUUGAGGUGGCUGCAGAACAGGGCUCGCACCCGAAGCAAGGCUGCAGCAGAGACGAACGGAUUGUGUCGCCGCCCACAAGUUGGAGUCGAUGGUGGAACCAAAACAGCCGCGGAUCCUCGGCAGCUCUCCAGGUCAUGUUUUCUCGCUAUCUGAUGAAUUGAACGGGCUUGUAAUACUCCCGUGACUUGACCUGCAAUCUCGGCGGCUCAGAGGUGUCAAGGCGGAGCAAACACAGCAACGGAGGCGAGCCUCCGGCUCAGAACGAGACACAACGGGUCAACCCUGGAAGUGGCCGCUCGAGGCCGGCCGGCUUAGAGACUCAAAGCAGCAGUGAGAUGACGGCGGAGGCGGAUAGCUGGUCGGCGCAUGUGGCGGAGACGACUCAGGGCCGAAGCGGCUCUGCAACAAGGCAUGUCCGGGGCGACUUCAAGUGUGGCGCAGCCGCGGGUGAGGUGACACGCCGACGGUGGUGGCUCCUGAGCAGACUUGCAAGCGAGGCGCAGGCUGAGGCCAGCUUGGCGCGGCUGUUGCGACGAGCAGCUCGCGGCAGAGGCGGAGGCGAGUCAAACGGUCGAGCCCGGCUCCGCGGAGACGUCCGCUUCCGGGUCGUGGCUGGAUCAAUUGGUUCUCAUCCGUGUCCUUCUCCAAAUUGUGGUCUUCUUUCCUUUGCCAUGUACAUACUAGUGGGGAACAAUGGAAGUUCUUGAGGAUUCUUUAGACUUGACUCGGUCUCAUGCCAGAAAAAACAACAACAAUAAUGAUGGUC